CGCAGAAAUAUGGGGAAAGCAACGAAAAAAGAUGAACACAAGAAUACGUGUGUGCUUCAAAUGCACAAAAAUACUCAAGCUUAAAGCUAAAAGUCACUCUCCGAGGGUAAAAGGCCUCCGUUUAUCCCAUUGCACCUCCACAUCCUUUGCCCACCAUAGACUUAUUGUUAGUCUUUAUACUCUCUGACCUGCUCUGAGUAAAAGGACCUGCGAUUGAAAGUCUUGGAUCACAUCUUUUAAAGCGUGAGAAGGGAGUAGGUGAAGGUGCAGACGCCAACUUUGUAUUUUUAAAGAAACAUUUUGAACAGAAUUCUGCGGUCAACAUUUUUAUUUUAAUGACCGAAAUGCAACAAAAGAUCCGAGUGGAGAUGUGUAAAAAUGUGAGCUAUUCCCCCUUUUUACAUCUUUUCAUAGUCUUCCAAUGUGUUCCUGGCUUGUGGAUGAAAACUACUCGGUGCUAAUGUACUUUUCCUGAGGUCUGGCUAUGAUUGCUGCCACGUUCAAUACACAUGAUCACCAUAAACGGGCUUCCUGAUGCUUUGUUCCUGUUCAGAUCAAUGGUGAAACACUACCUGAUGAAAAGAAGAUAACGUUAUGUAAUGUUGUGUUAUUUCUCACACUGCUGUGGUUGUUUCUUUCAAGUGAAGGAGAGGAUAAAUGUGGAUGAAGGGAGGGAGAAACAUACUGUAAGAAGGCAAAAGAGAAAAGGAGGAGAAGCUCUGCAGCAGCUGGAAUUGAUUUCUCAGGGAGCGACGGAGAGAAGCAGGAAACUGCUGCUACAUCCCCUCGAGCCUUCUCCGCCUCACACACACACCUUAGCUGAAGUGCACCCUUGAGGAGACAAGGAUUGAGGAAGCACAAGUGCAUCCUACAUAGAAGUCUUACCAAGAGUCAAGGACGAGGAGGCCUCUCACAUACCUGGGACUCCAUCCUCCAGAGACCACCGGACGGUGGGGGGCGUGGCCAGUCUGACAGAUCCUGACCAUAGGCUGUAUGAUUCUGACAGUUCUGUCUGAUCAGCCACGUGAUAGAAAGGAUACGUCAUCACAUGUCGGAUGACGCUCUGGAGAAGACGGCAGAUAAAGUCGAAACAUGUCAGCAAGAUACCCUAGAAGAUGCGUUUGGCAUCAUCUUUGGGGGCACUUGAAGGCCAUGGUGUAUCAGGUGAAGAUACGAGACAUAAAUCAUCUAAAGGAACGAAUCACCAACACCAUUACAAGCAGAACUUCAACUGUGCUAAUGCAAGUUCAUCAACAGGGUAAAACACGUAUUAAUAUGUUUUCGAAACAAUGGUGAUCAUAUAGAGCACAUUCUAUAAAUAAAAACGGUUGUCCAACAUAAAAUGUUUAUUAUUCCUAUGUAUGGAAACUUAUGGCCCACCCUGGAGUUAACUCUUGAAGGUUGUUUUUUUUUUUUUUUUAAAUCAAAGAAUUAUUUCACAAUGAAACACACCUAUUUGAUGCAAUGUGGUGCACGCACACACAACCUAUGAUUUAGCCUUAAUAGGAGGACAGACAAGUAGCUAGGUUUCCAUGCAGAUGUUGUAAAUUUGACCCAAAUCGGCAAAACAAGAUGUAAAUGUAUGCUUAUUUAAAUCAACUACUGUUGUUAGUAUUAAGAGCUGGACCAUCGACAUAAGUGGUAAGUUGCCAACAAAGGACAACAAACCAUGAAUGUAUUCACGUGUCAGCUAGGUGAUGGAGAGGACACUGGACACAGUGGAGAUGAAGGUUUCUGAACACCUAAUAUUGCAGCUACAUGCUCUUGGAAGAACUUUGGUAACAGGGAAGCCUGAAUGACUUUUAAGUCCAGUAGAGUUCAUUUAGUGCAGACUUGUGCAGACACACAUUAUUUUUCUUCCUUGUCGCCAUGAUCCAGUACACACCUUCCAGAUAAUGAUGGUGUUUAUAUAAUCCUGCAGCUCUUCUGAGGCUUGUAUAAGUAAGGAAUGUGUCUGCUAUGCUGUAAUACCAUCUACAUGCCCUUCACCUAAUAUUUCAGAACUUGGCAAUAAAAGCAGAAAAGCUUUCUGUCAGAGAAAAGAAUGAACAGCAGCAAAUUAGAUUAGUCUACACUGUGUCAAAGUUUUCUAACAGCUGUAUAGAUUUUGAGAAAUCUUCUCAUAUUUUAAUGAUUAAAGUUGUCGAAUAAC